rnacentral:rRNA from 1 species
UACGUAGGGUGCGAGCGUUAAUCGGAAUUACUGGGCGUAAAGCGUGCGCAGGCGGUUUUGUAAGUCAGAUGUGAAAUCCCCGGGCUUAACCUGGGAAUGGCAUUUGGGACUGCAAGGCUGGAGUGUGGCAGAGGAGACUGGAAUUCCUGGUGUAGCAGUGGAAUGCGUAGAUAUCAGGAGGAAUACCGAUGGCGAAGGCAGGUCUCUGGGCUGACACUGACGCUCAUGCACGAAAGCGUGGGGAGCAAACAGG